rnacentral:lncRNA from 1 species
AGAAUGGUUAACUUUCUGAGUUCAGCCACUUUUCUUCAGCAUCCUGGUUUAAACUUGUUAUUCUAGAUAUCCUCACUUAUCCCUCGGUUACUAAUGAGGGAGGUACCAGUAGAUAUCUAUGGCACUAAUUCGAUAUUCAAACAAGUGAAAGAAAUUUUGAGCAAUGGGAAACUUCUAGGGGGUAUUUGGACCCGAGAAGAUUCUGUAUCGGAAAAUAGCUCACUACAGUCUCCAACGCUUAGGUUCAAGCGAUUUUCCCGCUUCAGCUAGGUGAGUAGC